rnacentral:rRNA from 1 species
AUACCCUAUUAUUUUUAUUGUAAAGUGAAUUAAGCUGGAGUAGUAAUAGUUAUGAUCUUUAAACUUAAAGAAUUUGGCGGUAUUAUAAUCUAUUUAGAGGAAUCUGUUAUGUAAUCGAUAAUCCACGUUGAACCUUACUUAUGUUAUAUUCUUGUAUACCGCUGUUUAGAAUAUAUUUUUAGAUUAUUUUCUGGAUAAUAGAAUUUAUUAAAAUUUCAAGUCAAGGUGCAGUAAUACAUAAGUUGAAUAAUGGAUUACAAUAAAUUUUAUUUAUCAUGAAUUGUUAUUGAAAUAUAAUAUUGAAGGUGGAUUUAAUUGUAAUUUUUUAAAUAUUGUAAAAAUGAUUUUAGCUCUAUAAUGUGUACACAUCGCCC